rnacentral:rRNA from 1 species
CCUACGGGGGGCAGCAGUAGGGAAUAUUGCUCAAUGGGGGAAACCAUGAAGCAGCAACGCCGCGUGGAGGAUGAAGGUUUUAGGAUUGUAAACUCCUUUUGUGAGAGAAGAUAAUUACGGUAUCUCACGAAUAAGCACCUGAUAAAUCCGUGCCAGCAGCCACGGUAAUACGGAGGGUGCAAGCGUUACUCGGAAUCAAUGGGCGUAACGAUUUCGCAGGCGGGCUUGUAAGUCACAUGUGAAAUCCUGUAGCUUAACUACAGAACUGCAUUUGAAACUAUGAGUCUAGAGUGUGGGAGAGGUAGGUGGAAGUCUUGGUGGAGGGGGAAAAGCCGUAGAUAUCAAGAGGAAUACUCAUUGCGAAGGCGACCUACUGGAACAUUACUGACGCUCAUGCACGAAAGCGUGGGGAGCAAACAGGAUUAGAUACCCGUGUAGUC